rnacentral:rRNA from 1 species
UACGUAGGGUGCAAGCGUUGUCCGGAAUCACUGGGCGUAAAGGGCGCGUAGGCGGCCUGAUAAGUAGGGGGUGAAAUCCUGCGGCUUAACCGCAGGGCUGCCUUCUAAACUGUCAGGCUUGAGCACAGUAGAGGCAGGUGGAAUUCCCGGUGUAGCGGUGGAAUGCGUAGAGAUCGGGAAGAACAUCAGUGGCGAAGGCGGCCUGCUGGGCUGUUGCUGACGCUGAGGCGCGACAGCGUGGGGAGCAAACAGG